rnacentral:lncRNA from 1 species
UGGAUUCUAAAUCUUCUGGCUGGGGAAUGUAGACAUUGGCUUAUGGUUGAUGGUGUAGACUGGUGAGAAUUCAAAUUUUUCUAAACUCAUGGUAAGCAUAUUGUAAAAUACAUAUGUACUAGGAAUUUUCAAAAUUGGUUUGUUUGGUGUGGAGUAUAUUCAACAGUAUUUUUGACAUUUUUCUUUAGAAAAGGAAGAUCUAAAGGAAUUUCAUAAGUUUUGUUACAUAAAGGAUUGAAAUAUUGUGAAUUUGAAAGUGCACUGCUGUUGGCCUGAUUGGUAAACCAACACACUACAAUUGAUAUCAAAAGGUUUCUCCUGUAAUAUUUUAUCCCUGGACUUGUCAAGUGAAUUCUUUGCAUGUUCAAAAUGGAAACCAUUGAUUAGAACUACAUUCUUUUCUCCUUGUUUUAAUUUGAACCCCACCAUAUGGAUUUUUCCCUUAGGAAAAUCUCCUUUUUGGAGAUCAUGGUGUCACAGUGUUUGGUUCUUUCAUUUUUGUUUUUUAACACUUGUCUCCCUUUAUAUACAAAAGUACGAUAUGAAACCUUCAUUUAAUCUCUGCAGUUCAUCUCAUUUCAAAUGUUUAUGGAAGAAGCACUUCAUUGAAAGUACUGCUGUAAAUAUUCUGCCAUAGGAAUGCUUCUGUCGACAUUCUUUCUCAUUCCAGAAUUCGUCAUCACGCUGCACCGGCCUCGUCUUUGUUGGUAGGUGUCCCAUUUCUAUCUGCUACUCUUUAUUUCGUGGAGUCGAAUCAACACUUUGAAGGCGAGGCUGUGAUAAUGGAACCAGAAGGCUGUUUGAACUUUUGAAACCUUGUGUGGGAUUGAUGGUGGUGCCGAGGCAUGAAAAGCUAGUAUAAGCAAGAAAAGGAGAGAGAAUGUACAGAGACUUGGUGGUGCAUAAUGGAUAUUUUUCAACUUGGCAAGAUGUGUCUCUCAAUCCUGCGGCUUUGGUGAGAGAAUGUGCAGAGAGCAAUGAUCAUAAAUAAUGUACGAAUGUUCUUCACAUUCAAAGGACAUCCACAUCUGUCGGAAGACUUAAAACAUCAGCCACACCUUAGACUCCAUGACCACGACGUUUGUGUACAAUGGUUGCAAUGGAUCCCUCCAGAAGGCUCCAUCCCCCAUCACUACUGGUUGAAGGCGUCUUCACAUCUUGACACACUAUUGCAAUUACAGGUGAGAUAAGACACAAGCGGCAUUGGAUUGAGAAUCAGCAAGGACCAGCAAUUUCUCAGAAAACACAACCGGAUCCUGUAGAGUCUUUAGAUGUUUUUCAAGAGGAAACAAAACAUCGCACAGCAGAUUAAAUGCUAUUGUGGUUGCAACCAGAUACUUCGAGUGCUCAAAGAUAUACACCAAGGAACUCAUCUAAGUGAAAAUAGAUGGGAUUUAGAGACAGAUUCAAGAUUUGCUACGAGAAAUUAGAUUUACUGCAAAGUAAAGCAAUUAACCUAUGACUUUGCCUGUAGGAAAUGAAGCACCGAUAACUGGCGUGGUAAGCAGAGUAAUAACCUUCCAAACAUAUCCAUGGCCCCAUUCCCAGAACCUGUGAAUAUGUUAUCUUACACGGCAAAAACCAAACCAAACCAAACCAAACCAAACCAAACAAAACCAACGCCCCCCUCAACUUUGCAGAUGUAAUAUUAAGGAUUUUGAGAUGGAAAAUUUAUCUUGAGUUAUCUAAGUGGGCCCAAACUAAUCACAUAGGUUUUUUUAAAAAAUGAAUUCAUUAGGUCAAUUUCUGUUUUUAUCUAUUUAUUUUUUUUGAAGUAAAGUUUGCCUACAAUAUUAGUUUCAGGUGUACAAUAUAGUUGCUCAGAAUUUUUAUGGAUUAUACUCCAUUUAAAUUUAUUAUAAAACAUUGGCUGUAUUCCCUGUGUUGUACAAUAUAUCCUUGUAUCUUAUUUAUUUUCUACAUAGUAGUUUGUGGCGCUUAAUUUCUUACCCUAUCUGGCCCCUCCCCCUGUCCCAGUCUCCACUGGUAACCCCUAGUUUGUUCUUUAUUUCUGUUUAACAUUAUAUUCAUUUGUUUUACAUUUUAAUUUCCACAUAGAAGUGAUAACAUAUAGUACUUGUCUUUAUCUUAUUCCACUAAGCAUAAUACCCUCCAGGUCUGCCCAUGUUGUUGCAAAUAGCAAAAUUUUGUUCUUUUUUAUGGCUGAGUAUUAUUUCAUUGUGUGUAUGAGAGAAAGAGAGAGAGAGAGAGAGAGUGUGUGUGUGUGUGUGUGUGUAUCUUCUUUAUCUAUUCAUCUGGAGAUGGACACUUGGUGGCUUCCUUAUCUUGGCGAUUGUAAAAAAUGCUUCUAUGAACAUUUGAUGUAUGUAUAUUUUCAAAGCAAGUUUUUGUUUUCUUCAUAUAUAUACUGAGGAGAGGAAUUUCUGGAUCAUAUGGUAGUUCUGUUUUCAGUUUUUUUGAGGAACUUCCAUACUGAUUUCCAUAGUGGAUGCCAUCAUACAGGUUUUUAAAAGCAGAGACUCUUUCCUAGCUCUGAUCAAAGCAAGAGAGAUAAGGCUACAGAAGAGUAGUUAGAGAGGCUGCAUUGACAUGGGUCAUGAAAGACGGGUGGCCUCUAGGAGCUGGAAGAGGCAAGGGCGUGGGUUUAUCCCUAGAUCCUCUAGGAAGAAAUGCAGUCCUGCAGACACCUUGAUUUUGUCUUCGUGAAACCCUGAUUGGAUUUGUAAUCUAGGAAAUUCAAGAUAAUACAUUUGUGUUGCUUUAAACCUAAAUUUAUGAUGAUUUUUCUGCGGUAGAAAAUGAGGAGUUCCCUUCAUGGUUAACGAACCUGACUGGUGUUGAUGAGGAUGCAAAUUUGACCCCAGGCCUUUCUCAGUGGGGUAAGGAUCUGACGCUGAUGUGAACUGUGGUGUAGGUUGCAGACAC